GUCUUUCAUGAUAAAAGAGAAUGCUGGCACUUCCCUUGAAAUGGCCAUGUGGCCUGAAACAUACAUACAUUUAAGACAUUGCCACCUACUUUGGGGCAUCACGAACAAGAUAGCAC
ensembl:snRNA U6atac minor spliceosomal RNA